GAUGAACGCUAGCGGCAGGCCUAAUACAUGCAAGUCGAACGGUGUAGCUAUACACAGUGGCGCACGGGUGCGUAACACGUAUGCAACCUACCUUACAUUGGGGGAUAGCCUUUCGAAAGGGAGAUUAAUACCGCAUAAGACAGUAACUAGGCAUCUAGUAGCUGUUAAAGAUUUAUCGAUGUAAGCUGGGCAUGCGUCCAAUUAGUUAGUUGGCGAGGUAAUGGCUCACCAAGACGAUGAUUGGUAGGGGAACUGAGAGGUCAAUCCCCCACACUGGCACUGAGAUACGGGCCAGACUCCUACGGGAGGCAGCAGUAGGGAACAUUGGGCAAUGGGCGCAAGCCUGACCCAGCCAUGCCGCGUGCAGGAAGAAGGCGUUAUGCGUUGUAAACUGCUUUUAUACAGGAAGAAACGACCCUUGCGAGGGGCAUUGACGGUACUGUAUGAAUAAGCACCGGCUAACUCCGUGCCAGCCGCCGCGGUAAGAC
rnacentral:rRNA from 1 species